rnacentral:tRNA from 1 species
GCUCUGUAGUGUAAGGCAUGUCGAAUUGCAAAUUCGAAGAAGCAGCUUCAAUUCUGCCGGGGCUU